UACGUAGGGGGCAAGCGUUGUUCGGAAUUACUGGGCGUAAAGGGCGCGUAGGCGGCACGGCAAGUCAGGAGUGAAAGCCCUGGGCUCAACCCGGGAACUGCUUUUGAAACUGCCGAGCUAGAGUGCGGAAGGGGCAACUGGAAUUCCCAGUGUAGCGGUGAAAUGCGUAGAGAUCGGGAAGAACAUCAGUGGCGAAGGCGGCCUGCUGGGCUGUUGCUGACGCUGAGGCGCGACAGCGUGGGGAGCAAACAGG
rnacentral:rRNA from 1 species